rnacentral:rRNA from 1 species
UACAGAGGUAUCAAGCGUUGUUCGGAUUCAUUGGGCGUAAAGGGUGCGUAGGUGGCGGGGUAAGUCAGAUGUGAAAUCUCGGGGCUCAACCCCGAAACUGCAUUUGAUACUGCUUUGCUAGAGUACUGGAGAGGAGAUUGGAAUUUACGGUGUAGCAGUGAAAUGCGUAGAUAUCGUAAGGAAGACCAGUGGCGAAGGCGAAUCUCUGGACAGUUACUGACACUGAGGCACGAAGGCCAGGGGAGCAAACGGG